rnacentral:rRNA from 1 species
AUGUGACCUCAAAUCAGGUAGGACUACCCGCUGAACUUAAGCAUAUCAAUAAGCGGAGGAAAAGAAACUAACANGGAUUCCCCUAGUAACUGCGAGUGAAGCGGGAAAAGCUCAAAUUUAAAAUCUGGUGGUCUUUUGGCUGUCCGAGUUGUAAUCUAGAGAAGUGUUAUCCGCGCUGG